rfam:Mustela putorius furo unplaced genomic scaffold scaffold00383, whole genome shotgun sequence.
ACCUAGCUGGCUCAGUCAAAAGAGCAUGUGACUCUUGAUCUUGGGGCCAUGAGUUCAGGCCCCAUGUUGGGUA